rnacentral:rRNA from 1 species
GCUUAGGAAUCUACCAAGUAGUGGGGGAUAGCCAUUGGAAACGAUGAUUAAUACCGCAUAUAUCCUACGGGGGAAAGCAGGGGAUCUUCGGACCUUGCGCUAUUUGAUGAGCCUGAGUGAGAUUAGCUAGUUGGUGGGGUAAAGCCUACCAAGGCGACGAUCUCUAGCUGGUCUGAGAGGAUUGAUCAGCCACACUGGGACUGAGACACGGCCCAGACUUCCUACGGGAGCAGCAGUGGGGAAUAUUGCACAAUGGGCAAAGCCUGAUGCAGCCAUGCCGCGUGUGUGAAGAAGGCCUUG